rnacentral:lncRNA from 1 species
CCUCAAGUUCAACUUUAGAGGCAUUAAUUUCUUCCUCAAAAUUUUUUUUUCUAAAAAGACUGUCCUAAGGCUGACAAAUAUCUUUUGUUCAUCAGCAAGAUAGAAAUAAUAUCCCUUAGUUUCUUUAGGAUAUCCUACAAAAAUAUAUUUGUUAAAUCUUGCUCCAAGUUUGUCUAUUUUCAAAUGUUUGACAUAAGCCGAAUACCUUCAAACCCU